rnacentral:rRNA from 1 species
UACGGAGGAUUCGAGCGUUAUCCGGAGUUAUUGGGUGUAAAGGGUACGUAGGCGGACUGGUAAGUCAGCUGUGAAAGCUUACAGCUCAACUGUGAAAUUGCAGUUGAUACUGUAGCUCUUGAGUAUACAUGAGGUGGGCGGAAUUUGUGGUGUAGCGGUGAAAUGCUUAGAUAUCACAAAGAACUCCAGUUGCGAAGGCAGCUCACUGGGCUAUAACUGACGCUGAGGCACGAAGGUGUGGGUAUCAAACAGG